CCCGGACGUCCCAGGAGGCUGCAGCAGGCAGCUCUUCUCAAGCAGGAGGAAGCAACCAGUCGCAGCAGCUGACUUUGACGAUGAGGGGGAAGCUAAG